rnacentral:tRNA from 2 species
GCCGGGGUGGCGAAAUGGAAAACGCGACGGACUUAAAAUCCGUUGGGCUUUACUGCCCUUGCGGGUUCGAUUCCCGCCCUCGGCACCA